GACAGAGGGUGCAAACGUUGUUCGGAAUUACUGGGCGUAAAGCGCGUGUAGGCGGCUAAGUAAGUCGGGCGUGAAAUCCCACGGCUCAACCGUGGAAGUGCACUCGAAACUGCGUAGCUAGAGUCCUGGAGAGGAAGGUGGAAUGCUUGGUGUAGAGGUGAAAUUCGUAGAUAUCAAGCGGAACACCGGUGGCGAAGGCGGCCUUCUGGACAGUGACUGACGCUGAGGCACGAAAGCGUGGGUAGCAAACAGG
rnacentral:rRNA from 1 species